rnacentral:rRNA from 1 species
UACGGAGGGUGCGAGCGUUAUCCGGAAUUACUGGGUUUAAAGGGUGCGUAGGCGGCCAAGUAGGUCAGGAGUGAAAGUUUGCGGCUCAACCGUAAAAUUGCUUUUGAUACUGCUUAGCUAGAAUCAGGAUGAGGUUAGCGGAAUGUGGCAUGUAGCGGUGAAAUGCAUAGAUAUGCCAUAGAACACCAAUUGCGAAGGCAGCUGGCUAGACCUGUAUUGACGCUGAGGCACGAAAGCGUGGGGAGCGAACAGG